rnacentral:SRP_RNA from 1 species
GCCAGGCGUGGUGGCGCAUGCCUGUAAUCCCAGUUACUCUGGAGGCUGAGGCAGGAGAAUUGCUUGAACUCGGGAGCCAGAGGUUGCAGUGAGCUAAGAUUGUGCCACUGCAGUCCAGCCUGGGUAACAGAGCAAGACUGUCUCAA